rnacentral:rRNA from 1 species
GACAGAGGUGGCGAGCGUUGUUCGGAAUCAUUGGGCUUAAAGCGUGUGCAGGCGGCGGCGUAAGUGUCGAGUGAAAGCCCGCAGCUCAACUGCGGAACGGCUCGGCAUACUGCGUCGCUUGAGGUCGGUAGAGGUGCCUGGAACUCUAGGUGGAGCGGUGAAAUGCGUAGAUAUCGGGAAGAACACCCGUGGCGAAGGCGGUUCUCUGGGACGGUACUGACGCUGAGACGCGAAAGCGUGGGGAGCGAACAGG